UACGGAGGGUGCAAGCGUUAUCCGGAUUCACUGGGUUUAAAGGGUGCGUAGGCGGACAGGUAAGUCAGUGGUGAAAUCUCUGGGCUUAACUCAGAAACUGCCGUUGAUACUAUUUGUCUUGAAUAUCUUGGAGGUAAGCGGAAUAUGUCAUGUAGCGGUGAAAUGCUUAGAUAUGACAUAGAACACCGAUAGCGAAGGCAGCUUACUACAGGAAGAUUGACGCUGAGGCACGGAAAGCGUGGGGAGCAAACAGG
rnacentral:rRNA from 1 species